AGUGAACGCUGGCGGUAGGCCUAACACAUGCAAGUCGAACGGCAGCACAGGAGAGCUUGCUCUCUGGGUGGCGAGUGGCGGACGGGUGAGGAAUACAUCGGAAUCUACCUUUUCGUGGGGGAUAACGUAGGGAAACUUACGCUAAUACCGCAUACGACCUACGGGUGAAAGUGGGGGACCGCAUGGCCUCACGCGAUUAGAUGAGCAGAUGUCCGAUUAGCUAGUUGGCGGGGUAAUGGCCCACCAAGGCGACGAUCGGUAGCUGGUCUGAGAGGAUGAUCAGCCACACUGGAACUGAGACACGGUCCAGACUCCUACGGGAGGCAGCAGUGGGGAAUAUUGACAAUGGGCGCAAGCCUGAUCCAGCCAUACCGCGUGGGUGAAGAAGGCCUUCGGGUUGUAAAGCCCUUUUGUUGGGAAAGAAAUCCUGUCGAUUAAUACUCGGUGGGGAUGACGGUACCCAAAGAAUAAGCACCGGCUAACUUCGUGCCAGCAGCCGCAGUAAUAC
rnacentral:rRNA from 1 species